AUGAGGGACUUCUACCUGUGUUAUCCUGCAAUUCUCACAAACACAUUAGUCCCUCAACUAGGUUUGUCAUGCACUUACACACAUGUUCCUCGAUUAGCUAUUGUGUUGGUAGGCAAUAGAGGGGACUCUCAAUCCCAUGUGCGAUUUAUAGUGAAGGGUUGUGAGGAAGUCGGGAUAAAAUCUUUGUUGUCGGAGUUGCCUCAGAACUGCACAAAAGACGAGGUGGUGGAUUCAACAUCAAGAUUGAAUGGAGAUCCAUCUGUUCAUGGCAUCCUUCUGCGGCUACCAAUACCACAAGUAAUGUAUUAUACUUCUCUGGUUGGCCCACUAGAAAAGAAUUAUGUUUGGUUUAGUUUGUAG
rnacentral:rRNA from 1 species